AAGUCGAAUGUGAAAUCCCGCUGCUCAACGACGGGACGGCAUUCGAUACUACCGGCCUUGAGGGCAGGAGAGGAUGACGGAACUUCCGGUGUAGCGGUAGAAUGCGUAGAUAUCGGAAGGAACGCCUACGGCGAAAGCAGUCACCUGGAAUGUCCCUGACGCUGAAACACGAAAGCUGGGGGAGCGAACAGGAUUAGAUACCCUGGUAGUCCCAGCCGUAAACGAUGUGCACUUGGUGUUCCCUCGUUGGGGAGUGCCGGAGCUAACGCGUUAAGUGCACCACCUGAGGACUACGGCCGCAAGGCUAAAACUCAAAGGAAUUGACGGGGACCCGCACAAGCGGUGGAGGAUGUGGUUUAAUUCGAUGCUACGCGAAAAACCUUACCUGGGUCUGACAUGCCAGUGGUAGGAGCCCGAAAGGGCGACGACUGAGGGUUUAUCCCUUGGAGCUGGCACAGGUGCUGCAUGGCUGUCGUCAGCUCGUGCCGUGAGGUGUUGGGUUAAGUCCCGCAACGAGCGCAACCCCCUCUGUUAGUUACACGUAUCUAACGGGACUGCUGGUAUCAAACCGGAGGAAGGUGGGGAUGAAGUCAAGUCAGCAUGGCCUUUAUGUCCAGGGCUACACACACGCUACAAUGGUCGGUACAAUGGGUCGCUACAUCGCGAGAUAGAGCUAAUCCUCAAAGCCGGCCUCAGUUCAGAUUGCAGUCUGCAACUCGACUGCAUGAAGGCGGAGUUGCUAGUAACCGCGCGUCAGCCAUAGUGCG
rnacentral:rRNA from 1 species